rnacentral:rRNA from 1 species
UACAGAGGGGGCAAGCGUUAUUCGGAAUUAUUGGGCGUAAAGGGCGCGUAGGCGGCCAUUCAAGUGACGGGUGAAAGCCCUCGGCUUAACCGAGGAACUGCCUGUCAGACUGGAUGGCUUGAGACCGGGAGAGGUGAGUGGAAUUCCCGGUGUAGCGGUGAAAUGCGCAGAUAUCGGGAGGAACACCAAUGGCGAAGGCAGCUCGCUGGGACGGUACUGACGCUGAGACGCGAAAGCGUGGGGAGCAAACA